UUGUUCGGAAUCACUGGGCGUAAAGCGUGCGUAGGCUGUUUCGUAAGUCGUGUGUGAAAGGCAGGGGCUCAACCCCUGGAUUGCACAUGAUACUGCGAGACUAGAGUAAUGGAGGGGGAACCGGAAUUCUCGGUGUAGCAGUGAAAUGCGUAGAUAUCGAGAGGAACACUCGUGGCGAAGGCGGGUUCCUGGACAUUAACUGACGCUGAGGCACGAAGGCCAGGGGAGCGAAAGGGAUUAGAUACCCCUGUAGUCCUGGCAGUAAACGGUGCACGCUUGGUGUGCGGGGAAUCGACCCCCUGCGUGCCGGAGCUAACGCGUUAAGCGUGCCGCCUGGGGAGUACGGUCGCAAGAUUAAAACUCAAAGAAAUUGACGGGGACCCGCACAAGCGGUGGAGUAUGUGGCUUAAUUCGAUGCAACGCGAAGAA
rnacentral:rRNA from 1 species